rnacentral:rRNA from 1 species
AAAUUGAAGAGUUUGAUCAUGGCUCAGAUUGAACGCUGGCGGCAGGCCUAACACAUGCAAGUCGAACGGUAACAGGAAGCAGCUUGCUGUUUCGCUGACGAGUGGCGGACGGGUGAGU